GGGGUCUUGAUGUAACGGCAACAUGGUCGGCUCCAGACCGGCUCACGGGAGUUCGAAUCUCUCAGACCCCA
rnacentral:tRNA from 1 species